rnacentral:rRNA from 1 species
UACGUAGGGUGCAAGCGUUUAAUCGGAAUUACUGGGCGUAAAGCGUGCGCAGGCGGUUAUGUAAGACAGAUGUGAAAUGCCCGGGCUUAACCUGGGAACUGCAUUUGUGACUGCAUGGCUAGAGUUUGGCAGAGGGGGGGUAGAAUUCCACGUGUAGCAGUGAAAUGCGUAGAUAUGUGGAGGAACACCGAUGGCGAAGGCAGCCCCCUGGGUCAAGACUGACGCUCAUGCACGAAAGCGUGGGGAGCAAACGAGGAUUAGAGUACCCCUGA